rnacentral:rRNA from 1 species
AAGACCUUGCACUUUUGGAGCGGCCGAUGUCUGAUUAGCUAGUUGGUGGGGUAAUGGCCUACCAAAGCUUCGAUCAGUAGCUGGUCUGAGAGGACGGCCAGCCACACUGGGACUGAGACACGGCCCAGACUCCUACGGGAGGCAGCAGUGGGGAAUUUUGGACAAUGGGGGCAACCCUGAUCCAGCCAUGCCGCGUGAGUGAAGAAGGCCUUCGGGUUGUAAAGCUCUUUCAGCCGGAACGAAACGGUUACGGUUAAUACCCGUGACUACUGACGGUACCGGAAGAAGAAGCACCGGCUAACUACGUGCCAGCAGCCGCGGUAAUACGUAGGGUGCGAGCGUUAAUCGGAAUUACUGGGCGUAAAGCGUGCGCAGGUGGUUUUGUAAGUCAGAUGUGAAAGCCCCGGGCUCAACCUGAGAACU